AGGACGAACGCUGGCGGCGUGCUUAACACAUGCAAGUCGAGCGGAAAGGCCCUUCGGGGUACUCGAGCGGCGAACGGGUGAGUAACACGUGAGCAACCUGCCCUUAGCUUCGGGAUAGCUCCGGGAAACCGGAAUUAAUACCGGAUACGACCACGGCCGACAUCCGCUGUGGUGGAAAGGAUUCCGGCUAAGGAUGGGCUCGCGGCCUAUCAGCUAGUUGGUGGAGUAACGGCCCACCAAGGCGACGACGGGUA
rnacentral:rRNA from 1 species